AGUGAACGCUGGCGGUAGGCCUAACACAUGCAAGUCGAACGGCAGCACAGUAAGAGCUUGCUCUUACGGGUGGCGAGUGGCGGACGGGUGAGGAAUACAUCGGAAUCUACUUUUUCGUGGGGGAUAACGUAGGGAAACUUACGCUAAUACCGCAUACGACCUACGGGUGAAAGCAGGGGAUCUUCGGACCUUGCGCGAUUGAAUGAGCCGAUGUCGGAUUAGCUAGUUGGCGGGGUAAAGGCCCACCAAGGCGACGAUCCGUAGCUGGUCUGAGAGGAUGAGCACCCACAUUGGACAGGAAACCGGUCCCGGCCCCCGAGGGGAGGCGCAGGGGGGGAAUGUGGAACAGAGGGCCCAGGCUUGACCCACCCAUCCGGGGGGGGGAAAAAGGCCUUUUGGUUUUAAAGCCCUUUUUUUGGGAAAAAAAAAGAGGGGGUUAAACCCCCCGUUUUCCGGGGGGACCCAAAAAAAAAACCCCCGCCAACUUCGGGC
rnacentral:rRNA from 1 species